CGGCAUGCCUAACACAUGCAAGUCGAACGGACACAUUGAAGUUAUAGCGAUAUAACGAAGAUGUGUUAGUGGGCGAACGGGUGAGUAACACGUGAGCAACCUGCCCUAUACAGCGGGAUAACACCUGGAAACGGGUGCUAAUACGGUAUAAGACCACACUGUGGCAUCACAGAGUGGUAAAAGCGUUUUUUAGCGGUAUAGGAUGGGCUCGCGUCCAAUUAGGCUAGUUGGUGGGGUAAUGGCUCACCAAGGCGACGAUUGGUAGCCGACCUGAGAGGGUGAUCGGCCACACUGGAACUGAGACACGGUCCAGACUCCUACGGGAGGCAGCAGUGGGGAAUAUUGGGCAAUGGAGGAAACUCCUUACCCAGCAAUGCCGCGUGAGCGAAGAAGGUCUUCGGAUUGUAAAGCUCUUUGAUUGGGGACGAAGAAAGUGACGGUACCCAAGGAACAAGCCCCGGCUAACUAUGUGCCAGCAGCCGC
rnacentral:rRNA from 1 species